CAGCGGCAGGGUAAGUUACAGGGAUGCUGGGCGGUCGGCUCAGAUCCCCAGCGGCAGUGCGAUAUGCAGGGAUUUGGGAGCCCAGUCUCCAUUCUCCAGCAGCAGUGUGAUAUGCAGGGAAUUGGGAACCCAGUCUCCAUUCCCCAGCGGCAGUGUGAUAUGCAGGGAAUUGGGAGCCCAGUCUCCAUUCCCCAGCGGCAGUGUGAUCUGUAGGGAAUAGGGAGUCCAGUCUCCAUUCCCCAGUGGCAGAGUGAUUUAUUAGGAAUUGGGAUCCUAGUCUCCAUUCCCCAGCGGCAGAGUGAAUUGCAGGGAAUUGGGAGCCCAGUCUCCAUUCCCCAGCGGCAGAGCAAUGUACAGGGAAUUGGGUGCCCAGUCUCCAUUCUCCAGCG